AAGGACGCGAAAAGGACUGAGGCACACAGGCCAGCUCCUUCUCCCAAACCUAAGAUUUCUGGAAUGUACAAUAAUGAUGCAGUUCAAGUCGAAGUGUUUGAUGGUUGUUACCAUGACAGCAAGACUGAAAUGGACCACACAUCCUUUGCUGUACACUCAGAAGGUGAUUCCAGUGCCAGGUUACCUACCAGAGCUGAACCCUCCUAAGGAAG